GUCAACGGCCAUACUACGUUGUCAAUACCAGGUCUCGUCCGAUCCCUGAAGUUAAGCAACGUCGGCCAAAGUCAGUACCACUUGGGAACACUCGGUGUCGUAAACA
rnacentral:rRNA from 1 species